CCGCCUUUCUACACACACGCGCACACUCGAACCUCUCUACAUAGGCUCACUCAUGGCUAGUUCUGGGAAGGGCAUUUGGCAGGGAGAGAUGUUGGGUCUAGAUUUGCUUCCAGUGAAAGUGACCAGAACCAGUCUUCCUCCCAUAGAUUAAUGGAGAAGUAGACUACUACAACAGACCUCAGAACUACAACUUCCUCCUUAAGUGUUAUGGCGAAGCAUAAUGAUCCCGAUAUAAGGUUCAAUAAGAUGGCCCACCAGGAGAUAGGUCUGGUCCAGCCUGUCCCUGUGGCCAACACCCAGACCAGGGGACAGUGGUCCAGCAAGCUGGAGUUCCUCCUGGCUGUGGCCGGACAGAUCAUCGGCCUGGGGAAUGUAUGGCGGUUCCCAUACCUGUGCUACAAAAAUGGGGGAGGGGUGUUCUUCAUCCCUUAUGUGCUUUUCCUGUUCACCUGUGGCAUUCCCCUCUUUCUUCUGGAGACCUCCCUGGGCCAGUACACCACGCAGGGCAGCAUCACCUGCUGGAGGAAGAUCUGCCCCCUGUUUGAAGGACUGGGUUAUGGUGGUCAGGUGGUAGUUCUGUAUUCCAGCAUCUAUUACAUCAUCAUCCUGGCCUGGGCCUUCUUCUACCUCUUCUCCUCGUUCAGCUCUGAGCUCCCCUGGGCCAGUUGUAGAAACAGCUGGAACACAGCAACCUGCGUGGAGUUUGACAGAAGAGUAGUAGGCUAUCUAAACUGGACAAUAACAGGAAACGCAACAUCGCCAGUGAGAGAGUUCUGGGAGAGAAGAGUUUUGAAUCUCACAGACAGUGUCUACAAGCUUGGAAAUAUUCGCUGGGACCUAUCUUUGUGUCUUCUAUUGUCCUGGAUUAUCUGUUACUUCUGUGUCUGGAAAGGAGUGAAGUCUACUGGGAAGGUGGUCUAUUUCACUGCCACCUUCCCCUAUGUGAUGCUGUUGGUAUUGCUAGUUCGUGGACUCACACUGCCAGGGGCCAUAGAUGGUAUCAAGUUCUACCUUUACCCAGAUCCAGCCCGCCUCGCUGACCCACAGGUGUGGAUGGAUGCUGGAACACAAAUCUUCUACUCCUAUGCGAUCUGCAUCGGCUGCCUGACCGCCCUUGGCAGCUAUAACAAGUAUGACAACAACUGUUACAAGGACUGUGUGUACCUGUGCCUUUUGAACAGCGGAACCAGCUUCGUGGCUGGUUUUUCUAUCUUCUCUGUACUGGGCUUCAUGGCUUAUGAACAGAGGACAGACAUCGCAACCGUGGCCGAAUCAGGUCCUGGCCUGGCGUUCAUCGCCUACCCUCGUGCUGUGGCCAUGAUGCCAGUACCCCAACUCUGGGCCAUUUUUUUCUUCAUCAUGAUCAUCCUACUGGGGUUAGAUAGUCAGUUCGUAGGUUUGGAGGCUCUGAUGACAGCUAUCUCAGACAUGUAUCCUUCUUUCUUCCUGGUUGGUCAUCGGCGUAAAAUACUCCUCCUCAUCAUUAGUGUGGGUAGCUUCUUCAUCGGCCUGGUCAUGGUCACAGAGAACUUUGGGGGACAUAACUCGUUCUGCAGAAUUGUUGGCAGAUUCUACUUAUUCCAUAAGGACUUGGGCCACUGGACACACUUAAGAUCAUUGUCUGAGUGUUUUGUACACUCUGGAGGUAGAUUAUCGAGUCUUAUUGUUGUUCUCAAUAAGAAUGUACUUUAUGAAUUAUUUCUCUCCACACCCUCCUUUGUUUGCAGGGAGGCCUGUAUAUCUUCCAGCUGUUUGAUUACUAUGCCUGCAGUGGGAUGACUCUCCUUCUCUUUGCCAUACUACAGUCAGUGUGUGUCAGCUGGGUUUAUGGUGCAGAUCGUCUGUACGAUAAUAUAGAGGACAUGAUCGGUUAUCGACCAUUACCCCUCAUUAAGUACUGUUUGAAGUAUAUCACUCCAGUCAUCUGCACUGCUACGUUUGUCUUCUCCUUGAUUAGGUUUACCCCGCUAAAGUUCAACAACACCUUUGAGUAUACUUGGUGGGGUUACGCCAUUGGCUGGUGGUUCACCCUCUCCUCCACACUCAUAGUUCCUCUGUGGAUGGUGUACAUUGUGAGUGUCACUCCUGGUACACUGCGACAGAGACUGUCUAUCCUCACCACGCCCUCAGAGGAUCUCCCUAUUACCAAGGCCCAGAAAAAGGCCCUCCUGGCCAAGCAGUCCGAGCAGGACAGACCUCUGGGGGACAUGAAGAUACCAGCGUGGGGCCACAAUCUCAUAGACAGAGACACUCUCUCGCUCGCCCACCAUCCCUACAGGCCUGGAGACAAGCAGGUCCAGCCAGUCACUCACUCUCCUAAAGGUUGUGACACUGUGACACUGUGUUUGGUCUGAGUGGGUUAGGAAAGUAUAUAUCAUCCACCACAAGCCUUUUUCUUGGGAGAGCGUUGUGGGCAAGUUCUUUCAAAACACACACUACUUCCUGUGUGUAGCAUUAUUAAGGAGACGUAGCAGCACUGGUUCUGGGAAAGUCUUGGAUGUGGAAAUAGUUUGGACCAGAACACACUGAAGUGAGAUAGUGAGUAAGGUCCAGCACAAAAGAUGGACCUUUGAAGUUGUGCUUUAACCAGGACUUGGGUCAUGUAGGACACAGUAUUUCAUCGAAAUUCAUGACUUUCUGUCACCGAACAUAGUGGAAACAAAGGCAUAUGACGAUCAUGCUCUUGGUCACAGUUGGUUAAAUGAUUCUGUAUAUACAUGGAAUCAAACCCUUUUUAAUAAAGAAACGUAAUAUUUGA